rnacentral:rRNA from 11 species
UUGAAACACGGACCAAGGAGUCUAACAUCUAUGCGAGUGUUUGGGUGUCAAACCCAUACGCGUAAUGAAAGUGAACGGAGGUGAGAACCCGCAAGGGCGCAUCAUCGACCGGUCCUGAUGUCUUCGGAUGGAUCUGAGUAAGAGCAUAGCUGUUGGGACCCGAAAGAUGGUGAACUAUGCGUGAAUAGGGUGAAGCCAGAGGAAACUCUGGUGGAGGCUCGCAGCGGUUCUGACGUGCAAAUCGAUCGUCAAAUUUGCGCAUAGGGGCGAAAGACUUAUCGAACCAUCUAGUAGCUGGUUCCCUCCGAAGUUUCCC